rnacentral:sRNA from 1 species
AUAGAAAAUUUUACAAAUCUUAUUAUAUAAAGUACGGUUUCAAAAAUUACUAACUCACGAGAUCAUGAUAGAUGGAAAGUUUAACGAUAAGAUGUUUACAUGUGUCAUCAAAGAUUUAA